rnacentral:rRNA from 1 species
GGACUACUGGGGUAUCUAAUCCUGUUUGCUCCCCUUGCUCUCGCGCCUCAGCGUCAGUUAUUAGCUAGAAAACCGCUUUCGCCACAGGUGUUCUUCCACAUAUCUACGCAUUUCACCGCUACACGUGGAAUUCCGUUUUCUCCGCCAAUCCUCUAGAUUUAUAGUUUCAAAUGCAGCUCCGAGUUUGAGCCCCGGAAUUUCACAUCUGACUUAUACAUCCGCCUACGCGCCCUUUACGCCCAAUAAUUCCGAUUAAUGCUUGCACCCUCCGUAUUACCGCGGCUGCUGGCAC